AUACGGAGGGUGCAGGCGUUAAUCGGAAUUACUGGGCGUAAAGCGUACGUAGGCGGUUAGUUAAGUUAGAUGUGAAAGCCCCGGGCUUAACCUGGGAACUGCAUUUAAAACUGGCUAACUAGAGUUAAGUAGAGGGGAGUGGAAUUUCAGGUGUAGCGGUGAAAUGCGUAGAGAUCUGAAGGAACACCAGUGGCGAAGGCGACUCCCUGGACUUGAACUGACGCUGAGGUACGAAAGCGUGGGUAGCAAACGGGAUUAGAAACCCUAGUAGUCC
rnacentral:rRNA from 1 species